rnacentral:sRNA from 1 species
CUCCCCCAGGAUCCUCAACUCCUGCACAGACCUGAUGAAGGUGAGGGGCUGUGACCCGGGGGGGUCUGCACCUGGAGGGCCACCAGUCAUUGCUGUCUUGGUCUCGGCAGGCUAUCCGGCUCCUGGUGACGACAUCCACUAGCCUGCAGAAGGAAAUCGUGGAGAGCGGCAGGGGGGCAGCCACGCAGCAGGAAUUUUACGCCAAGAACUCGCGCUGGACCGAAGGCCUCAUCUCGGCCUCCAAGGCUGUGGGCUGGGGAGCCACACAGCUGGUGUAGGUUCCCCUGGGUAGGGGGGUGCAGGGGGCUGCUUCCUGCCAGUUGGAGCAGUUUGGGGGUCAACAGGGUGCAGAAAGUAGAGGGGGUGUGGAGUGGUGCCAGCUGUCCAUGGGGUCAGAGACCCUGGCCCUGACUGGCCCUUGCCCCGCAGGGAGGCGGCUGACAAGGUGGUGCUUCACACGGGCAAGUAUGAGGAGCUCAUCGUCUGCUCCCACGAGAUCGCAGCCAGCACGGCCCAGCUGGUGGCGGCCUCCAAGGUGAAGGCCAACAAGCACAGCCCCCACCUGAGCCGCCUGCAGGAAUGUUCUCGCACAGUCAAUGAGAGGGCUGCCAGUGUGGUGGCCUCCACCAAGUCAGGCCAGGAGCAGAUUGAGGACAGAGACACCAUGGAUUUCUCCGGCCUGUCCCUCAUCAAGUUGAAGAAGCAGGAGAUGGAGACCCAGGUAGGUGCCCAUGGCUGCCCCGUGACCUCUGAGCUCAUCCCUCGAGCGAAGCCUGGACCCAGGAGAGAGCUCCCUGGGGAGGCUGGGCUGGGCUGAGCAGGCCGUGUGGCUACAGGUGCGUGUCCUGGAGCUGGAGAAGACGCUGGAGGCUGAACGCAUGCGGCUGGGGGAGUUGCGGAAGCAACACUAUGUGCUGGCUGGGGCAUCAGGCAGCCCUGGAGAGGCGGCGGCCAUCCGGCCCAGCACUGCCCCCCGAAGUGUAACCACCAAGAAACCACCCCUGGCCCAGAAGCCCAGCGUGGCCCCCAGACAGGACCACCAGGUGCCGUCUGUACUGGGAUGGGGGAGUUCCUGGAUGGGGGUGCCGUCCCCAGCCCUAGAGAGGCACAUGGUGCACAUCCCUGGGGAAGUCAGGGACCACUGACAACAUGCCGGGAGGAGCUUGCUCAAGGGAG